CCUUGACUGCAUAGUUUCUGCUGGUCCAAGCAACCUUCUCCUGCCACGCCUAACCUUGGAGAGCAGUGAUCAAUGGAGGAAGUGUUUCACAGUAGACAUGGGAAACUGGCCAGAUCAACUGCUGUCACCUUCUAAAGACAGGGUUUUGCCAUGUUGCCAGGCUGGUCUCGAACUCCUGGAUUCAAGUGAUCUGCCUGCCUCAGCCUCCCAAAGUGCUGGAAUUAUAGGACCCAGAUGGUGAGGAGAAAUGCCAGAGAAGCUGCAGACCCCCCGGCCACAGAGCCUGAGUGGAGCAGAGGUGGCCCACUGUCAGCCACAGGUCAAGUGUCAGGGUGGGGACAGGACAGGCUCCACCAGGAGGCAGGGCCAGACCACAGGGCAAGGUGGAGAUGAGUCUGUGGCAUCCCUAGGAAGCUCACCAGACUCGCCCCAGAGCUUCUGACCCUUUGGAUCUCUCUGGGCUGCAUUCUUCAGGGUCACGUUGCUUCUUUCUUGAAGGUGGAAGGAAAUGUUCCCAUCAGAGUUUUCCAACAGGCCAUCUCGGGGACUUCUCCUGAGAACUCCUUGUGCACAUACCCCUUCAGGGUGGCUUGGGUUGUGCCCUCAGACCCCAGUGGGGGGCCAUAUCUCAUCCUCCUUGGUCAGCAGGUGAGCCACAGCAGCAGGCCCCCCACAGACCUCAGCCUUGGGCCACAGGUACCUUCUCCCAAUUUCUGCAUCUGGAGAAGCAACCUGCGGAGCAGCCAAAAGUGGCAGACCUGGCUCCCUGCAGCAUUCAUUUUCCAGGCAAGACAGAGCAUUUCCACUAAUAUGACUCCCUUUUUAUGUUUUGUUUUUGUUUUUCUUUUAAACGUGGUCUCACUCUGUUGCUCAGGCUGGAGUGCAGUGGUGCAAUCAUGGCUCACAGCAGCCUCGACCUUCUGGGGUCAAGUGAUCCUCCCAAUUCAGCCUCCAAAUUUCUUUAAAGAAAAAAGUGCAAGAAAGGCAAAACAAGAUAUUUGUCUGGGCUGAGAGGGUAAAGAGAAGCUCAAUCUUUGAGCUGAGACACAAAAUGGAAAGAAGAGGCAGCAGCAGCAGCAGUAGCAGUUCUGCCUUUCCAAACCUUCCCCAUCUAAGCGCUUUCAAGAUACGCUGAAAGUCACAAAUCGAAGUGUGGUUCCCACGGCUUUGGUCCUUGUAUGAAGGUCCCUUUGCCAGAACUUACUUCCUUUCCAGCCCACAUGGUUGACCUGGGAGUCCAGGCAGUUCUCAAGGGAACCAUAGGAUUCCAUGUGAUGUGGGAUCCCAGUUUAUGAUCUCUCUUCUGGUCACAAGCUGAAUUGGACCCAAAUCUGCACCCUGAACUUCCCUCUUGCCAGAUCCUGCCUAGUCAGUGCCCUCCCCUCGGGCUGGGUGGGCAGCCUGGGCUUCCUGCUGGGACGGGACCCCUUCUCUUCUUGAUCUCACUCCCAGAAAAGACACUGACAGAGCAGAGGUCUGGACGCCACAUACUGUGUAAGUUUCUCUUGCCUUGACACACCUGAGAAAGCUUGGUGUUUGAGCCCUACCUCCUCCCCACUUUACUCCCACCCCCAAAUCCCCUCCUGGAAAUAGUCCCGGUUCUUAUUUAUGCCUAUCCAAAGUCCAAAGUCCACAGCCCAUGAGGGGCAGCCCUGGUCAGGCUGGUCUUGAACUCCCAACCUCGUGAUCUGCCCACUUCGGCCCCCCAAAGUG